UUACGGCCACAUCAUGUUGAAACACUGAUUCCCGUAUGAUCACUGAAGUUAACUAACGUCGAUCCUGGCCAGUACCUAGAUGGGUGACCGCUUGGGUAUGCCAGGUGCUGUAAU